rnacentral:rRNA from 1 species
GAUGAACGCUAGCUACAGGCUUAACACAUGCAAGUCGCAGGGUAACAUGAGGGAAGCUUGCUUCCCUUGACGACGACUGGCGCACGGGUGAGUAACGCGUAUCCAACCUUCCCAUGACCACGGGAUAACCCGUUGAAAGACGGACUAAUACCGUAUGACAUCGUUUGCUGACAUCAAAUAACGAUUAAAGGUUUAGCGGUGAUGGAUGGGGAUGCGUCUGAUUAGCUUGUUGGCGGGGUAACGGCCCACCAAGGCGACGAUCAGUAGGGGUUCUGAGAAGAAGGUCCCCCACAUUGGAACUGAGACACGGUCCAAACUCCUACGGGAGGCAGCAGUGAGGAAUAUUGGUCAAUGGGCGAGAGCCUGAACCAGCCAAGUAGCGUGCAGGAUGACGGCCCUAUGGGUUGUAAACUGCUUUUAUGCGGGGAUAAAGUGCGCGACGUGUCGUGCAUUGCAGGUACCGCAUGAAUAAGGACCGGCUAAUUCCGUGCCAGCCGCCGCGGUAAAAGGG